UGGUGCUUGAUCGCAAUAGUGGGACGUCCCCGUCCUUGACUCCUCGACUGCAGUCUCACCGCAGACUGGUGCUGUGAGUCGCGCUGCGGAGACGCUUCAUGUACGACCUGUGCCCAGGUUGUGGCAGGCGCUCUAGAAAUGCAAAUGAACAAAGAGGCUUCCUCCACUCCCGCCCACCCACCCGGGUAAAGGUGGCGGCAGUGUUGGGGCGAGGGUGGUUCGUAGAUUCACCGCACUGGAUUCCUUUUGAAGGUUUGGGCUGUUCCCCGAGGUAGGCUGUUGCGAUCUGUCCAACAAAGAGGUGAGGCAGUGAGACGCGAAAGAUAACCGUGUGGAUCAUGGGUUGCAACAGGACGGAGAAAACGGGGACCACCUCAGUGAAACGGUAACGGGUUUUUUGCUCGCUCAAAGAAAACUUUCAUGCUCUCCUAAUGUAGCCCAACACUGGAGGAGACUGCGGCCUGACCUAAUGACUCGCCCUGUCCGUGGUAAGUAUUUCACACACAAAAUAGCCAGCGCACUCCGGGUGGGUUCAGCCUGCGAAUUGUUUUGCCUCUGUGGGCAAUCGUUACGGAGCAGGCAGCCCGCCAAGGUGGGUGACGCGGGGACUCCAGAGAGGGAGGGAGAGAAAAGACUUGAAAUUGGCCACCAGCCAACUGUCUGAGCCCUUUUCUUUUCUUUGGAUUUAGGCAGUGUGUGGGUGUUCCAGGACCCCUUGAGGUGUGUGAAACAGUACCUGGGUGUCUAAAUCCUCGAUCACUGCACUGGUAUUUUAGCUGGAAGGGGAGCGUCGCCUAUAAACACACACCUAGCAACUGCAGUCCCGGACCCGCCGCCCAGAAAUGAAUGAAGACAAAAAAUGCUCGGGCUGAUCUCUAAACAUGAUUUUGUAGCUGUUUACUAUAAAUCCCAAAAGAUGUGUCACUUUAAUAGAACUGGUCUGGGUUAUCUUUAGAAACGGACAGAGCCCUGUGCUUCCUUAUAAGGUCCCUCACAUAUUUGUGAUGCACACAAUUUCAACUCGAAUUAUUUGUGAAGGAGCACAAUUCCGUCAGUGCAGAUGGCAGGAGGCACUAACUCACAAGAUUUUGUAAACUGAAGAGAAAAAUAAAUGCAGAGGAAAUUGAAAUCAGGUCUCAAGACUCCUAGAAUGCUGCGUUUGCGGCCAUUUCCGACUGUUCACUUUACGAGGCCAUUAGAGUGCCAAAACAAUAAUGGAAUUUAAUCCAACCUGCCCGACAGGGUCAAAAUGGACGUCCCAUUCCCAUCUCAACAGCUGAGUCACCAGCCCAGUUAUUAGUUUGCCUGACCUCAUCCCACUUCCUAACGUCUUUCUUGGGUCUUCCUGCAAAUCAGAAUCCUGUGAUAUCAUCAGGGUAGCCAGUGAUCUGUGGGGAGUUUACAAAUAACAACAUUUUGCCAUGAAUUAAAAGAGAGAGUAACUGGCAUUCACAUAGCUCCUUCGAUUAUCUCAAGGCCUCCACGCACCCUCCCUGAUCCAUCUUAUAGUCAAUAAAUAUGUCAAACCCACAAACUCUGGUUCCCUGGGCAAUUACUCUCACCACUACAGUGCUACCUCUACACAAACUGAAAGCAAAGUGAAAAUGUUAGAACCAUGUAGAAUGUGGGGCAACUCGGGAGCACGAGGCCAUUCGGCCCGUCGACCGGAAAGGUUUCUCUCUCCACAGAUGCGGCCCGACCUGCUGGGUGCUUCCAGCAUUCUCUGCUUUUGUUAUGGAAUCGGUAUUCCAGAAUCUGCAAAGAUUCUCGUUUCCACGUGAAAUCACUGACACCACCCAGUUCCACCUUACCGUUUGUUUUACAACAUUACGAAAGUUAAUUCACUCACAAAAUAUUGUAAAUCUUGGAUUUACAAGACUUUAAAGUACUGCUACUACAGAACCAUUGUCUUCGGUUUGCAUCUGCUGCAUGUUAAAAUCGCAGCACGUUGCAUUCACCUAUCGCCCUCAUCUAUUGUUUUCCCAUCCACCCCACAGCCUUCUGCCUGAACCCCUUUGGAAUCCCACCCAGACCCAGAACCCCUUAUCCCCCCCACCGAGCCACUCUUAUUGGCCGUCUCAGUUGUCCAAGCUUCCCCCCUCCCUGAAUUUUCUCCCUUAAUCACUUCGCCUCUUUCUUGCAUGGCCGGUUGCAGCUAAUCACCUAACUGCCCCUGCAAGCGUCCCAGAACGAUAAAGGCGCUACGCAAAGGCACACUACUACAGUACUCUCUACCCCCAACACAACAGGUGAGACGCCAGCACCAAUAUCUUGUGUGGAGGCAGCAAAAUAGAGUGGCGAAGACCCUCAAGAUCCGACCUCUCAAAACGUCGGCGGACGACACUGCCGCAGAAAACCCGAGCCGGUGUCCUUUUCUCUGAAGAAACUCUCCCUCAGUCUCUCUGAAGUCUGAGAUGAAUGUUAAUGACUCAGGCAAACCUCUCCUGACGCUGCCCGGCCGCCAUUUUGGUUUUUUUCGCUGCAGAUUCCAGGGACCCCAUGCACUGAAAACAAGGUCGGCAUUGAUUGCUAGACCGUUUAGGAAUCACACACGAGCCAAGCUUGGUAAAGACAUUAGAUUUCCUUCAUUAAGACUAUUAGCGACUCAGAUACGUUUUCACAAUGUAACUUUUUUAUGGAAAAGAAAUCCAUAUUACUAGCUGCUGGAUACAAAACUGCUGCCACUGGGUCACCAGCUUGUUAGGGUAAUCGGCGCAGGCAUGAAUUGCCGAGAACCCACUACACGUCUUUGCUAAUAUCUCGACUGUAAAGACAUCCCGUGGACGAGAGGCGAAUUAACAACGGUAAAACAAGAGCUUGUCAUGUACCGAAAAAAGGGUUUGGAAGGAGCCCGUGGAGGGGAACAAAGAGGAUGCUGUGGCCGAGACCAAGGCCGACCUCAGCGGCCCCGAUGAAUGACUCAGCACCCCCCCACCCCGCCACACACACACCCACACCCUUCCCAGCUCCUUCCCACCCGCACGACUUAGGCUGCCGUUUGGAAACCGCCUUGAAUCUAUCCGGGUUGGUUAACAAAACCUUGUUUUAAGAUAAAGAGGAAUUGCAGUGGGUGGUCCCUAUUAAACCCCAUCACUUGGGAAUGGACUUCCAGCGUUUUUUUUCCGGGAGCGCUGGCAGCUCGGGGCAAAGGUGCGGCUUUGUCCCGGCAAGGCUCCGCUAGCCCGCUGCGUCCCCGCGUGGAGAACUCCUCCUUGCGCCAGUCAGUUGACUUAAAUAGAAACGCACUCUUCAAUUAACCCGCAACUUCUCACGAUAAACAAACAAAUUGGAGGUCAACAGGGAGAAGUCGAUUUCAGGUCAGAUCCCUGCUCCUCGUCCGAUGUGCCUACCACAGGUGGCCGUUGUUCAGUCAAAGCCAGUCCGUCUGAUUUAUUCUAUUUCAGCAGCAUUACUGUACAUCCCUACUUGCCCCCUGAGCGGUAGUGAGCUGCCUGCAAGUCAAGGCUUGCUGGGCCAUUGCAGAGUCAAACAUAUAGUGUGGGAGUGGAGUCACAAACAGGAGAAACACAUACAAAAUGCUGGAGGAACUCAGCAGAUCAGGCAGCAUCUAAGGAGGGAAAUGAACAGUGGAUGUUUGAAGCCAACCCCUUAGUCAAGACUUAGCCCAAAACACUGACAGUUUAUUCCCCUCCAUAGAUGCUGCUUGACCUAUUGAGUUCUUCCAGCAUUUUGUGUGUGUUGCUCAAGAUUUCCGGCAUCUGCAGAAUCUCUUGCGUUACAAACUCAACUGUGAUGGCAGAUUUCCUUCCCUUGGGGCACAUUACUGAGGCAGGAGAAGAUUAACAACAAUACAGUAAUUUCUGUGAUUACUAUCACUAACUUGCUCCCCUCCAUCUAGGCAAAUCCUGAUUAUUAACCGCAGCUGCUCUGGUGGAAUUUGAACUCACAUCUCGCGGGCAGUGGAGGAGGGGGAUAUUCUUGGAACUUAAUCAGUAUGCAAGAAUUGUACUUCAAGCUACAUCACAGACGCAGUGGGUACUCAAUCCAUCAAAUGUAUAUUCACACAGGUUAUAAUAAUAAAUUGAUUAUCAAUUACACACACAUGCACACACUCACUCACAUACAUAUCCAUUCAAGGCUGUGAGGCAGUGUGGAUUGUCAAGGCAAUGCUGGGAGGUUUCAGGGGCACAUAGGUAGGAUGAGCGAAUGGGCAAGACUAUAGCAAAUAAUGAGGUAAAAUGUGUGAUGGGAAGAUUAGAAAGUCAGGAUGUUUUAUAACACUUGUGCUACUGAAAAGUGUUGCUCACUGAGACCUGGGUAUCCUUUACCGAAAUGGUCACAUAGGUGUAAUUGGGAGGCGUGGGCUUGUUGAGCUGGAAGGGCCUUUUACCAUGCUGUGUCUCUAAACUAAAAUAAAUAACUAAAUAGUUGAAAGUGAGCAUGUUGAUAGAGUAAGCAGUUAGGGAGGCAAAACUUUAUUAUAUAAGGAUUAGAAUAUAGGUAGUUCUGCUAUAAUGUGAUAGAUAUGUUCCUAACCAAUCUCAUGUUAUAGAAAACAAGAGAGAAUCUGCAGAUGCUGGAAAUUCAAGCAACACAGACAAAAUGCUGGAGGAACCCAGCAGCCCAAGCAGCAUUUAUGGAAAAGAGUACAGUCGAUGUUUCAGGCUGAAAUAUCGACUGUACUCUUUUUCAUAGAUGCUGCCUGGCUUGCUGAAUUCCUCCAGCAUUUUGUGUCAUGUUAUAGAAAGAUGUGUUAUAGCAGAACAAGCUAUAGUUGCCUUCCAAACACAGAUUUAAACAGGUUUUUCCAUGUGUUUCUCACCAAGGUUGCCUGAAUAAUUAAAAUAUUAUUCGCUAUUCUAUUGAUUAUGUUAUAACCAAAUUGUGUUAUGGAAUAUGCUGGAAAUGUGAUGCUGACAUGUGAUGAGGAUGUUAGGAGAAUUCAGGGUGACUUGGAUAGGCUGGGUGAGUGGGCAGAUACUUGGCAGACGAAGUUUAAUGUGAAUAAGUGUGAGGUUAUCCACUUUGGGAGUAAGAACAGGAAGGCAGAUUAUUAUCUGAACAGUGUAAAGUUAGGUAAGGGAGAAAUACAAAGAGAUCUAGGAGUCCUUGUUCGUCAGUCACUGAAGGUGAAUGAGCAAGUGCAGCAGGCAGUGAAGAAGGCUAAUGGCCUUUAUUACAAAGGGAAUUCAGUACAAGAGCAAGGAAAUCCUCUUGCAUUUGUACAGGGCCCUGGUGAGACCACACCUGGAGUGUUGUGUACAGUUUUGGUCUCUAGGGUUAAGGAAGGAUAUCCUGGCUAUAGAGGAAGUGCAGCGUAGGUUCACGAGGUUAAUUCCUGGGAUAUCCGGACUGUUUUACGCAGAGAGGUUAGAGAGACUGGGCUUGUACAUGCUGGAAUUAAGGAGAUUGAGAGGGGAUCUGAUUGCAACAUAUAAGAUUAUUAAGGGACUGGACAAGAUAGAGGCAGGAAAUAUGUUCCAGAUGCUGGGAGAGUCCAGUAUCAGAGGGCAUUGUUUGAAAAUAAGGGGUAGGUCAUUUAGGACAGAGUUAAGGAAAAACUUCUUCUCCCAGAGAGUUGUGGGGGUGUGGAAUGCACUGCCUCAGAAGGCAGUGGAGACCAAUUCUCUGGAUGCUUUCAAGAAGGAGCUAGAUAGGUAUCUUAGGGAUAGGGGAAUCAAGGGAUAUGGGGACAAGUCAGAAACCGGGUAUUGAUAGUAGAUGAUCAGCCAUGAUCUCAAAAUGGCGGUGCAGGCUCGAGGGGCCGAAUGGUCUACUUCUGCACCUAUUGUCUAUUGUCUAAAUCUUGAGUAACAAUACAAAAUGCUGGAGGAACUCAGCAAGUCAGGCAGCAUCUAUGGAAAUGAAUAAACAGUUAACCCUUCCUGCUGAAGGGUUGAGUGUUUAUUCCCCUCCACAGAUGCUGCCUGACUUGCUGAGUUCCUCCAGCGUUUUGUGUGUUAUGGAAAUGUGUUGUAGCAGAAUUGCCCAUACGAGAGUGGAGGGGGACUGUAUCUGUAGCUAUUGUGCACAGAUCCCCAUGCCUAUGAAUCAAUAUGAUGAAUCUUUGUUCCAAUAGCGUGAGUGGUACAAGGGUUUACCAGACCAUAAAAACAUGAGACAUAGGCGCAGAAUUAAACCAUUUGGCCCAUUGAGUCUGCUCCGUCAUUCCACCAUGGCUGAUAUAUUAUCCCCCUCAACCCCAUUUUCCUGCCUUCUCUCCGAAACCUUUGAUGCCCUGACUCACCAAGAACCUAUCAACUUCUGCUUUAAAUAUACCCAAUGACAUGGCCUCCACAGCUGACUGGCAAUAAAUUCCACAUAUUCAUUGCCCUGGCUAAAGAAAUUGCUCCUCACCUCUGCUGAAAAGAAACGUCCUUCUAUUCUGAGGCUGUGCCCUCUGGUCCUAGAUUCUCCCACUAUUGAAACAUCAUCAAUCAGCUCCAGAGAAGCUGGGUUUGUCCUGUGAGGGUAGCUGAAGCAGACUGGGCCUAUUUACACCUGAGUUUAGAAGUGAGCUCAUUGAAACCUACAAAAAUGUUUCGAGUGCUUGAGAGGCCAGAUGGGGGAAGGAUAUUUCCCCCAGAUGAGGAAGUCAAGGACCAAGGUUCACAGUCUCAGAAUAAAGGAUCAUUCACUCAGGGCUGAGAUGAGAGGAAAUUUCUUAAGCCGGAGGAUGGUAAAUCUUUGAAAUUCUCUCCCCAAGAGGUUCAGACACUGGGUAUGUUCAUACAAAGAUUUAUAUAUUUAUUUUGGAUAGGAAAGGAAUCAAGAGAUAUGGUGUUAAUACAGGAAAACGGCACAGAGCUCACAGGUCAGCCAUGGUCUUAUUGAAUGGUGGAUCAGUAACAAGUGGCCAAUGUCUGCACCUGUGGCUUAUGUUUUUACAGGCACUCAGGCUCACAUUCACACUCAUACCCUCACCUCCACACAGGCACACAAUGCAUGCACAAGUACUGACAUUUAGACACAUGAACACACGUUGUAUAUGUACACGCACAGUGUAAUGAAUUGAUCUGUAUGCACAGUAUAUAAGGCACUGUAUUCAGUACAUUUGACAAUAAUAAAAAAACAAUAAAUCAGUGCUGAUUGCUGAUGUCAACGAAGCUCCCGUUUUUUAUCUCACUGAUAACAAAGUCUGUGAAUGUUCUAAAGCUUUUUAAUGUUGCUACUGCACAAGUACAGGCAUUAGACUGAAAAUGACUGCUGGCAAAAUUAGCUUCUCACAUUCUUCUGACAUUCUUGUCAUUUCAUUUAACCCAGUUGCCUAACCUGCCAACUUUAAACAAAUUAAGGUGCUGAUUGCAGGACAGGAGGUCAUGGGUUCAAGUCCCAUUUGAGCACCAAGUUCCCUGUGGACACUUCUGCUGCAAGGUCAGGGAAGAUGAGGAGUUGGGUUUGGUCACUGAGGCUGCUGGCUGUUGAAGGAGACAUUAACUCAAUGCCUGGUCUGACACCAGUCACUUGGAAAGGCUACCUGAAGGACAAAGAAAUUCACCCCACCAUCCUGGCCAAUAUUUAUCUCCCAACCACACAAAAAAUAACUGACCUGGGGAGUAACUGACAUGUAGUAAAGGGAUUAAAUCCUGGCUGUUAAACAUGUUUCAGUCCUUAGUGCGCAGGUCGCCUGGAUAGUGAACCUGUUGCUGUUCCUCUAUGCAUACCACACACGGGGGCUGGUGAACUCAAUGGUAUCAGUUUCAAUGUCACCCACAAACUCCCAUCGGCAGGGCAGGCCCACACAGAAGCAAAUGGUAAUGAGGAGUCAGGGCCUGUUUCUGUGCUAAUUAUACAGGCCAGGGAAUCUGGAAAUGUGGAUGUGCCAUCUUUAAUCAGCCUGGCCCUACUCUAAGAUCUUUUCUUAUUACUUGCUUCUGCCCCAGCAACCCACCCUCACCACAGGCAUCAGUUGGGGCUCCUCAUCACUUCCAUGAUGAGUGGCCAAUCUUAUAUCCCAGCUGGAUUCUGACACACCUCCUUUCUUACACUGAGUGAUCGAGAGAGACAGCACGGAUACAGGCCCUUUAGCCUACAAUGUCCAUGCUGACCAUCAAUUGAUCCCAUUUUAUUCUCCCCACAUUCCCAUCAACUGUGUCCAGGUUCUACCCCUCUCCCACACACCAAGGGCAAUUUACAGCGGCCAAUUAAACCCACCAACCCGCACGUCUUUGGGGUGUAGGAGGAAACCAAAGCACCUGGUGGAAACACACGCGAUCAGGGGAGAGCGCGCAAACUCCACACGGACAGCGCUGGCGAUCAGGAUCAAACCAGGGUUUCUGAAGCUGUGAGGCAGCAGCUCUACCCGCUGUGCCACUGCACCGCCUCAGUAUAUCCCGAUCCAACACACUCUCCAGUCCCAUCCUUGCCCUUAUUGAUGCAACUCUCAUGUCUGACCCUCUCUUCCCUCAAUCCCACCCAUGCCUUGGGACUCCUAUAUGAUAAAGUUUAGUUUCUUGGAAACUACAACAGACAGAGCAGCAGUUUAAUAUGGCUUUUGAGGCAUCAAAUAAUUUCUGCUGCAUAGAGUUAUUCAACAUAGAAAGCCCAAAUGUCCACGCUGACCUUUUAGUUCACCUACACUAUGCUAAUGUGUUCUUCAUCUUUAACUCAGUCUUCUUCAUAAGGUCCAACUGUGCCCAAACUGACUGCUUCUAAACUACAAAUGUGACUGCAUGUUAAAGUAAAUCAAUAAACUCUUGGGGAAAAAAAACUGCUUUUUCCUCAAAUGCAAUGUUAAAUUAAACCCAAAUGCUUGUACCUUGUGGCAGAUCUGAGAAACAAAUAGAGAUUUAUUUUCUUUGUAAUGCAUACUUCAUACCAAAACCAGUAUGAAAAGCAGCUAGGACAAGAAAAAGUACUUUCUUUUCAGUAAAGGACUGAAAUCCAACUCUUAAAUUCGUUAACAAGAGUCACGUCAUCUUUCAAAUGUUAAAGAGUAAAGAAAAUAUGAGAAUUUUGAAAGGAUUUGGCACUGUAUCAUCUAUGUACAUGGUCCCUUUAAGGUGUUGUUGAUAACUGUGCAUUCAGUAGGCAAUUUUUUAUGUAAAAUGGCUGACAUUCAACUGAUGGAGGAGGCCAUAAAUCCAGUAACUGUGGUCGCCCUUGUGAAUGAUCUCCUCUCCAUUAGAAGCAGAACAUGUUUGCUUGAGCAGUGAUAAUGGUUUAUUUAUGCCAAAGCUACUCAGGGGGCUUUUCCACUGAUAGGGCCUUUGUGUCCACGCUCUGCGUAUUCGCUCUCGAUCCCUCUGUAAACAUUUGGCCUGAGCUGCUCUCACUUGACAGAGAGGAGAGCACACUUUGCUCACCGGCCAAGACUGCCAGGCCUCUCUCCGAGGCCCUUGACACGGUGAGGCAGAUUGGCCUUUAUAACACAGGAGGGAGCGGUUCAAGUACCCAGGUCAUUGACUGAAUGAAGAGCCUUUCCCUCUGGAGCUGGGUCUGUAGCUGGGUACAAGAGUGGAGUGUUGUGAAGAGCCCUUCUCAUAUAGAGCUUACAAUGUAGCAGGAAAGGUCAGCUGUAAUAUAACAGCCAUUUGGCCCACUGGGUUCAUGCCGGCUCUUACUCUCAACCAAUGGAUUUCUUUGAGCCACACAGCAUGGAAACAGGCCCUUUAGCCAAUCAAGUGCAUGUCAAACAUCAAAUCCCAUUUUGAUUCUAUUUUAUUCUCCAAUGUUCCCAUCAGCCCAUCUAGUCUAUGCUGGAUGAGGAGUGAUCACAUUCCUCUUUUAAUUUUUCCCUCUAACCUAUUCUUCCCACACGUCCAUCAACUCCUCCCAGAUUCUACCCCUCACCCACUCACUAGGGGUAAUUUACAGCAGACAAUUAACCUCCAAACUUUGGGAUGCAGAAGGAAACCAGAGUGCCUGGGGAAACCCACUGGGGUGCAGACAGCGGCUGAGGUCAAAAUUGAAACGGGAUCUCUGGCGCUGGGAGGCAGUAGCUCUACCCGCUGCAUCACUCUGCUUUCUAGUAAUAGCAGGGUUCUCAGAGUGUGCGUGGCACAACUGGCAGGUGUGUUUACUGACACUUUUAAUCUCUCCCUCUCCCAGUGUAGAGUGCCCUCCUGCUUCAAAUUAUCCACCAUUGUCCCUGUACCAGAAAAGACCAAGGUAACAUGUCUGAGCGACUGGCAUCCUGUCACACUCACCUCAAUAAUAAGCAAAUGCUUGAGAGGCUGGUCAAGGACUACAUCUGCAGCACGAUACCACCCAAACUGGACCCCCUACAAUUCACCUAUCGACACAAUCAACCACAGAUGAAACAAUAGCCGCAGUUCUACACACCGUCCUUACACAUCUGGAGAAGAAGGAUGUUUAUGUGAGAAUGCUUUUCUUGGACUACAGUUCAGCAUUCAACACCAUAAUUCCAUCCAGGCUCGACAAGGACCUCAGAGACUUCGGCCUUCACCCUGCCUUGUGCAGCUGGAUCCUGGACUUCCUGUUGGAUCGCCAGCAGGUGGUAAGAGUGGGCUCCCUCACCUCUGCCCCUCUGAUCGUCAACACAGGUGCCCCUCAGGGCUGUGUACUAAGCACCCUCCUUUACUCUGUAUACCCAUGACUGUGCCACUACCCACAGCUCCAGUCUGCUAAUUAAAUUUGUUGACAACACCACACUGAUUGGCCUAAUAUCAAAUAAUAAUGAGGCAGCCUGCAGAGAAGAAGUCAUCUCUUGGCCACAGUGGUGUCAAGAAAACAACCUCUCCCUUAAUGUUGCAAAAACAAAUGAGCUGGUUGUGGACUACAGGAGGAAUGGAGACGGGCUAACCCCUAUUGACAUCAAUGGAACUGGGGCUGAGAGGGUGAACAGCUUUAAGUUCCUCAGCAUCCACAUCACCGAGGAUCUCACAUGGUCUGUACAUACCAGCUGUGUGGUGAAAAAGGCACAACAGUACCUCUUUCACCUCAGAUGUUGAUGAUGUUUGGUAUGGGCCCUCAAAUCCUAAGAAUUUUCUACAGGGGCACAAUUGAGAGCAUCCUGAUCUGCUACAUCACUACCUGGUAUGGGAACUGUACCUCCCUCAAUCGCAGGACUGCAGUGGGUGGUGCGGACCCAGCGCAUCUGUAGAUGUGAACUUCCCGUGAUUCAGGACAUUUACAAAGACAGUUGUGUAAAAAGGGCCUGAAGGAUCAUUGGGGACCCGAGUCACCCCAACCACAAACUGUUCCAGCUGCUACCAUCCAGGAAGCGGUACAGCAGCAUAAAAGACAGGACCACUGGGCUCCAGGACAGCUUCUUCCACCAGGCCAUCAGACUGAUUAGUCCACACUGAUACAAUUGUAUUUCUAUGUUAUAUUGACUGUCCUGUUGUACAUAAUAUUUAUUAUAAAUUGCUAUAAAUUGCACAUUGCACAUUUGAAUGGAGACGUAUCGUAAAGAUUUUUACUCCUCAUGUAUAUGAAGAAUGUAAGUAAUAAA